UACUAUUAAAAUGAAAGUAUAUGAAUACAUGAUGAGGUAAAUUACUUGAUUGUACUUCGUAUUGCCAAGAUAGAGAUUACCCUAUAUGCUUAGCAGAACAAAAGUUAUGAAAGAAUUUUCAGUCACAAAGGAGUCUAAAUGGUGAAGGAAUCGAAUUUAAAUUUUUUUUUUUUUGGGGUCAAAGAGGGAAGGGCUUGGACUCUAAUCCUUGGAUGAGAGAGUACUGCUGGCAACCAACCACGAAAGCUACAAGCCCCUACGAAUUAAGGUAUUGUUUAGCAGUUCUUAAAACAUGCUUUCACAUUCCUAUGUUUGAUAAUUACAUAUUAGUUUGAGUUUUAGGUACUAUCCACAAAAUGAGUUUUCGAAACCCUAGGGAAGAAAUAGUUUCCCUAUGUAUGGUGUCCAAAAAGUAGAAC
rnacentral:lncRNA from 1 species